GGAGCUCUACCAGCAGCAGCCAGCUCUGAAAGGCAACUGUCUUGUUAAUGCGUUUCUGGUAUCUUUUAAAUUUUUUUUCCUUAUGUAUUUUUCCAGUGUCCCUGACAGUUAGUGUGGGUUUUUUUUUGUUUUGGGUUUGGGGUUUUUUUCGGGUUUUGUUGUUGUUUUUUUGGAUUGGUUGGUUGGUUGGUUUUUUUCAUUCACAAUUUAGGAGGUUUGUUUGAAAAAUGUGUGUUCUAAAACAAUCUUUUGCACCCUUCAAUUUUUUUGUGUGUGUGUUUAUCUACAGAACUUAUGAACAAAUGCAUAGGUUCAUGCAUUCAUACUGUGAUGAAGAGUGAUAAGGACUGUUGGAAUACUCCUGGGCUACUACUGCUCUGGACGUUAUUUCCCUUGAAACUGGAAUUUCAGAUACAGUGCUAGAAGAUCUUGCAGAAUUAUAAGUACUAUUUCUGCCUCUUGUUGCUUUUUGAUGUUUGGUUUCCUGAGAAAAAAUAAUGCAGAAGAUCUACAAGGAAAGUGAUUUUACAUUUUUUUAAAUACUUGCCAGCUGACUGGUUUAUACUUUGGAUGUGAGCUACAGAGGAGGAUCUAUUCAGAACAGCCAUGUCAUGGAGCAGCUGUUGCAUGAUUUAUACUUGUCAUCACGUUCUCAAUUUAUAGGCUUAAUUUUUCAUGGAUUAUGCAUUGAACUUUCCAGUAGUUUGUUUGCUCUGACACUUCCCUAAGGUUUAGACAAAAAUUUUAAAAGUUACCAGCCUUAAGGAUGAGUAUUUCUUACUUUAUCAUGUCGUGUUGCUGUUGGAAACCUCUUUUGAGUGUUGGUGGUAUCCAAGGAAUGCCCAGGAUUUAGAGGAUGAAUCUGUAUGUUCAUAUACUGAGCAGAAAAGUACAACUGCUCUUUCUGGUGACCUCUAGCUUUUUUACCCAGGUGGUCCAUUUAUGAAGAUCACACUGCAGUGUGGCUAAUUUUAUUUGUUAGUUCCAACAGCUGUCAUCUUAAUGCAGAGGUUUGUGUUUGAGAAGUGGACAGAAAAAACCCUGAAUGUGGCCAACAGCAUCUUCCUAAGGGCUUGUGUUUGAAAUCUAAUCUCAAGGGCAUCUCUGCCAGCUGCCUUUGUGACACAAAUUGAUUUCUUGUCACAGAUGUACACGCAUUCUGUAAUGGAACUUGCUGCUGCACCACCAUCAUCUUGAGAAGCCACCACUCCCACACCUGAAAGCUCCAGCAUGAGCAGUUCAUACAGCAGGAGAGCCCAGCAGUGACAGAGGGGAGAGGAGAAGAGCCUUGAGAAGUGGAGUACUUCUGCUAUCUGAUAACUAUGGAUGGGACCAACAGGUGCAGAACCCUAAGCUACUCUCCAUUCUGCUGCAGGACUUUCUGAAUUCCUGCCUGAAGAAGUUCCUGCCAAGGAACUUCUGCAGGUAAAAUGUGAAGUGGCUGCAAGCUGUCUGAGGUAUUGGUUUUCUCCAGCUAAACUCAAAGGCAUCAGGUGGCUCCCCUUUUAUAUUAAUCCCCAGUCUAGGUGCUUUUCAAGUGAAAUCUAGGUAGAAUCAUAGAAUAGUUUGGGUUGGAAGGGACCUUUGAAGGUCAUCUGGUCCAACUCCUCCACUGUGAGCAGGGACAUCAUCAAGUAGAUCAGGUUGCUAAGAGCUCAUCUGACCUGACCUUGAAUGUUUCCAGGGAUGGAACACCUAUCACAUCUCUGGACAACCCAUGCCAGUGUUUCCCCACUCUUGUCAUAAACAGUUUCUUCCUUAGACCUAAUCUGAAUCUACCCUCUUUUGGUUUGUAAGCAUUUCCCCUUGUCUUAUUGCAACAGGCCCUGUUAAAAAAUGAGUCCCUGUCUUUCUUAGAAGCCCACUGGGAUUCACCUGGGAAGCCAGAAGCCUCUGUAAAUCAGCACAGCCAGUCGUGUUCCAAGGUUGGAUCAGCUCCUUCUUAUGGGCAAACCCCAUCUGUUCCAACUACUUCCAAAAAGUAAUAAAUGUAGAGGUAGAGACAUACAUACAGAGGUGCCUUGGGAAUGUCCAAUAAAUGUGCAAAUAUAGAUUUGGGUUUUUUUUCUUUUGAAUUAUUAUGGCAGUCAUGCCAGUAGUGCCUCCUCCACCGGUUCUGUGCAGUGCCUUGGGCCAUUUUCUGACCCCCAGGAGUUGCCCCCAGCUGCAUUGCCUGAUCACUGGUUGUUGCAUCUCAAAGCACUGUUGCACUGGCUUCUGAGUUCUGACUUUCAGGCUGGAGCACCAAACUGUGUUAUGAGCAGAUGUCCUGUCUCCAUUUCACUGGGCUUGGAGCAACCACAUUUGCUAAGAAGUAGGGCUUUGAAAGCAGAGAAUAAAACUGGUUGGAAACUCUUGGGUGGGAGCAGGCUGGUAGAGCUUUAUGUUCCCUCAUUUUGAAGAAACAGUUGUGUUUUCUGAAUGGAGGAUGAACAGGGCUUUGGGGAGUGUUUUUUUAAGGCACACAUGUUUGCAACCAUUUCCUGAUCCCCAAUCUAAAAGAAAGUGUGGUCACCCACCAAAUGUUUAAAGCUUCAAGAUUAUGACAUUAGUAAGUGAGAAACGUUGUGGCUGUAGAUCCAAAGAAGUUGAGUGUUCCUAAUGUAACCAAGCAAUUCUUUAGAAUUGUUCUUUCAGUCUGACACAUAGAGACUAUUUCUGUUAUGACAAUAUGCAGCCUCCCAGAUUUCAUAAUCAGAGUUUGACCAGCUGCUCUCUCUCUACUGCACUUUGUGGACUCAUGCACUAGUCAGUGGUGAUCUUGGGGCUAGAGAACACCCAGCUUGGAAAAAACUUGUAUAGAGCCAUUCAAAAAUGCUAGCAUGGCUUCAAAACUAGACAAAGUUCUAGAUCUUUAUCCAGUCAUUUUAUUUUUAAACUGAGAAAGGAAAUCCCAGUUAAUUUAAAAAAAAAAAAAAAAGAAGAAAGAAAACAACAUCAACAAAAACCCCCACCAAAACCAAAAAAACAAACCCCUGACCGUUCCGGUAUUAACCUUUCCUUCAGAUGACAUUGAACGCUGUGGUUUCUAGAUCUAGUAUGACUAGUUCUCUAUCCCUUUGCUUUCUUAGGCAGAGCAUCAGUGCUUAUGUAGGUAUGCGACCUAAAUGACCAGUGACAAAGCAAAUGAUUCCUUAGAAACGCUUUAUACUCGGACGGUUUGUCCAUGUUCCUCAGAAGAGGCAGCUACAGGAUGGAGUACAGUGAACUCAACAAUUCUUCAUGACAGUGGCUGCCUUUGUAGCAGCGGCUCUUGUAUAUUACAGAGCUGAGCCUGCCCUUCUGAGGUCAAAAAAACAUGCAGGUGCAAGUGUUGGAAUUGUUGUAUCUAAGUUAUUAUUUCACACUUCAGGUUUGAAAGGCUGAGAAACCCGGAACACCAGAUCCUGUGGGAAUCUCCCCUCCCCACCCCGCGGAGCUUCAGCACCGCGGACAGCGGCGGCCGGGGUCCCGGAGGGGUCCCGGAGGGGUCCCGGUGCCCGCCGGCCCCAGGGCGCGCCUAGGCCGGGCCAGGAAUGAGGGAAGACAGUUUCAGCACAACGUAGCAAGUGAGGUUGAAAAUGCCUCCCACUCUGGGGAUGUUGCUUGGUCAGGAAGGGCCUUCCAUAAGCACCACAAGAAGAAACUGGAAAUAGAAAGUAUCAGCCUUCCUUAAAGAAUAACCUUUUCCCCCCAUUUUUAUCAAUUUUGAUGUGUGGGAAAGUUCUAUUUAAAUAUUCAUUUUAAAUAAAGAGGAUGCUUUAAAUUGAAGGAGUAAAAGUAUUAGUUAUGAACAGCAUUGUAGGAUUAUGGAAUGCAGGCACAAAAUUUUAAGAAAUGCAGGAAAACUUGACGGCCCAAUAUGAAGCCAAAUUAUGCACAGGCACUGUAUUUGCAUCUUCAGCUGUAUGAUCCUGUGCGUGGGUUUUAUUUCCUCAUAGCAUCACCAGCAGGCUCAAAUGCAGGAUCUCCACACAGUCCUUUCAGACAUCUACAGAACCUUUCUACACAGGCCCUGCUCGAACAGCCUAAAGAAUAACAUAGUAAUUGUUCCUGAGCUGGACAAUCUCAGAUUUUAAGGGGCCACAUGAAAAAUACUGAGUUUUGAUGAAUCACCAGCUGAAAGCUGCCUUACAAUCAUAAGGCAAAUGUAACAGCAGGUAAUGUAAUGACAAUACCAUCACAGAUGAUUGACUCUGCCUCUGUCCCUGGCUCAUACACCAAAAUAUGGUCUCCUCCCAGAGAUGCCAGAUGAGGUGAGGCUGGGGCUCCCUAACAGGAGGCAGGCAGGAUUUUGAAGAGCCAUUUAUAACCUUAGUCAGAGGGUUAGAAGGCCAAAAGAAAGGAAAGGAAGUAGUGGAGGACUUUUUCUUGGUUGUCAAAGUGUAAAUGCCUAUGACUUUCAAGCCUACAUGUGACUGAUUUUAGACACACUCUCCUUGCUCACCCACAAUCCACCUGAGAAUAUUAACCACAAAUCCAUAGCAGCUGCCAUCCUUUCUUAUAGGAAAUAAGCAUAAAAAUGGCUUCACCACCUGUAUUCACAUACAGGCAAACUGUGGCUGAAAUCUGUAGAAUUACAGAGGGUCACUUACUGUACUGCAUUGGCAAGAGGCUCUGAAAGGGAAGAAGUGGAAACCACUGGAGUAACACUCACAUAAAUGUAGUAUACAGUUCUGCAGGCUCACAGAGGAAAAUUCAGACUUUCUUGUACUUCCAGCUUUAAGCUGCACAGUAGUGAAUGGGGAUCAGGACAAACUGUAGAAGCGUUGCCAAGGCUUUCACACUGGCAGUUUCUCAACAGCUUUGUCACUGCUGGUACCCAAAGAGGUGAGCUUGGGUAUGCCCAUAUAGGCUCAAACAGCAGCUCUGGAUUGCAGAGCUAUUCUCAUAGCAAUAAGGUGACUCUUAUUUUGGCAACUCAUACAUAUAUGAGGAAAAUGGAUGCAAGCUAGCAUGUUUAAUUAUUUAAGGAUUUGAGAUUUCAGCACAACUUAUGCCUUGAUUUUUUUUUGAAAGUAGAAGAUGAAGAAGAAGCAUCUCUUGGUGCUACAAAAGCUAGAGGCAACACAGGAAUGAUACAGCUUUCAAACAUAUAAUAUGCAACAAACUGUAACUGCAAGUCUGUGCUUGGAAACAGAAAUUUAAAAAAAAUACAUUAGCUGAGCUUUUAAAGCAUAAGCAAGAACAUCUUGGAAAAAAAUGCAGUGCUAGUUAGAAAAUAAAUAUAUCUCACAGUUCGAGGAAUCCAGUUCUAAUUUGCUUUAAAUAGAAGGGAUUUUUGAUCAUAGUAGUGCAAAUUUUAUUAUUCAGCUUCAGUCAGUGGUAGAAGAGAGAGUAGGACUUCUAAUCUUCCUUCAUAACUCUUUUGCAGGGUUUUCCAUAAAGGAGGUACUGAGCAUCUAACUGAAUCUCAGGCAGACUAUGUCUUACAUACAGUUCUGGGAAAUGAUGUUUCAGUGUAAACCAUGAGUUAUCCUGAUAUGUUUUUCUUUCUGGAAUACAACUGCUUCCCAAAGCUCCAGUCUGAUCGAAACUAAAUCAUGGGCCAAAAAAAUUUUAAAGUAGUAUUGACUACAAACACUUGUUUGGCUGCCCCUCAAAAGGCAAGCAUAGACUAAGGUGAUUUAUUCACACAGAAAUUCGUUCUUACACCUGUGACCCAAGGAUGUGCAGCAAAGAUAUCAGUCCUUGACUUGCAGUUGAUACUAACAGGAUUGCUACAGCUGUGACUGGUUCAAUAUGUUAUGAUGGUAUCUACUGAGUGGAUGAGAGAAAGAUGGCCUCUAACCCAAAAGUUCAAGCUGAAACAGUGGUAAUAAGAAUUCUGAGAAGAGGCAAUCAUAUUAGGGGCUGGUAAUUCAUCUUAUGGACUGGGUUGAGAGACGCACUCACUUUGAAUGUCUCUGUGACAGUGUUAUCUGACAGUUUCAAUUUGUUAGGUUUUUCUUAAAUACAUCCCAACCUAUAAAAACAAAAUUUGUUGAAAGCCUUUUUAGCUCUCUUUUUAUGUUAUUAACAAUUCCCUAAAUUCAACACUUUUUAAAAAUAUUUCUACACUCCGCAGUGUUUCUCUACAGCUGUCCCAAAUUUUCUCUCAUUCUGAACCUCUCAUUGAGGUAUAGUCACCUUCUUUUAACCAAUCUUCUUUUAAAGAGAUAUCUUUUAUUUCUAUUUCAGACAUAGGAUUUUAUCCAUGCAAUAGCAAUCCCAGUCUUGAUCUCUGCAGUUUAUAAUUAAGAUUAGUGUUUUACUUCAAAACAAUAAGAAAUAAUGUUCUUAGUUUAUACUUUGUUCUAGUUAAUUUUUUAUCUCUACAUAAAGACAGCCAAAGAACAACUUCAUAGGGUCAACCAGUACAUAAGAUUCAAGUAUAAACUACCCUAUUUCUGUUCCAUAUUCUGAUAUUAUUAGCUAGUUGAGCAUUGACAAAUGCUUUAGCCUUGUGGUUUGACCAGCUUUAGCCAAUAGAUCAACAUUUGCAUUGCACAGAGACCAUUUCUGCUUUACUCAUGAGCCAAACGAAAACCACUAGCUAAUUAGAAAAAGGAGCUGUUCAGGCAGGCUUUUGCAUGCUUGUAGUUUGGGAUCAUCCAAUAACCUCUAUAAUUCACAGUGACUAGCCAAAGCCAGCAAACUCUGUUCAGUGCUCCCCAAAGGCUUGGUUUACAAGUGCCUGUAGCAGACUGAAGGAGGUUUUGCAGUGCAGCAGGAGACACCGUCAGCAAUGAAAAGCCCUGGCACAACCCAGAGGGCUGCUGCCGUCUGUAAAAGCACAAGAAGAAGUAGGUUAGUGUGAACCUUAGAUUAAGUGCUACAGCCCAAGAUGAGGCUUUGCUUAGAUACUUACCAAAAAAUAAUCAGUCCUUACUUAUAACAAUUUGAUAGAAACUUGUGGAGAAAUACUUUUCUUUUGUUUAAAUUUCAUAUAUUCACCACAUUUUAGCUCCAAGUCAAUAUUCUCUAACACAAAUACCAAAGUAAAACUAAAAUACCAAAUCUCGUGAUAAACAGACACAAUAAAAAUAUCUGUUGGAUAGAUUAAUAUUCUGUAAUGUAGGUAGAACACCACACAAAGGAAUCCUCCUGAGAUUUCAUAAGAAAGCACAGCAAAGCUUCUAGUUCACAUGGCUUUGAUAAGAAAUCCAUAAGCACUGACUCUUUCUGAAGUUGACCUUGUAUUUACGCCUUUUUCAGAGGACAGUUGUGUAGAAAGGAGACUGCUGAAGAUUUCCCAGAUGCUCUUUGUACUCCUGGUGUUUAUUUUUGACAUGAGUCAUUACCAAGAAUCCCAGAAAAAUCUACUUACAACGGCAGUACCAGCAUCUGACUCAGGGUUAAGAAUUUAGUACCAUUUUCAAAUCAAAUAUGAAAAAUAAUUUAGUAAUAACCAAACAAAAGGCAUCAUACAGGGUGCUGCAAUUUCUUUGAA